GACGAACGCUGGCGGCGUGCUUAACACAUGCAAGUCGAACGGUAAGGCCCUUCGGGGUACACGAGUGGCGAACGGGUGAGUAACACGUGGGUGAUCUGCCCUGCACUUCGGGAUAAGCCGGGGAAACUGGGUCUAAUACCGGAUAGGACUCCGGACUGCAUGGUCUGGGGUGGAAAGCUUUUGCGGUGUGGGAUGGGGCCGCGGCCUAUCAGCUUGUUGGUGGGGUGGUGGCCUACCAGGGCGACGACGGGUAGACGGCCUGGGAGGGGAACCGGCCACACUGGGACUGAGAUACGGCCCAGACUCCUACGGGAGGCAGCAGUGGGGGAUAUUGCACAAUGGGCGCAAGCCUGAUGCAGCGGCGCCGCGUGAGGGAUGACGGCCUUCGGGUUGUAAACCUCUUUCAGCAUCGACGAAGCGAAAGUGACGGUAGGUGCAGAAGAAGGACCGGCCAACUACGUGCCAGCAGCCGCAGUAA
rnacentral:rRNA from 1 species